UGGUGUUAUUUUUUUUUUUGGUUUUUAGGGCCACACCCGAGGCAUACAGAGGUUCUCAGGUUAGGGCCUGAAUCAGAGCUAUAGCUACUGGCCUACGCCACCGCCACAGCAAUGCAGGAUCUGAGCUGUGUCUGUGACCUACACCACAGCUCACAGCAACGCCGGAUCCUUAACCCACUGAGCAAGGCCAGGGGUCGAACCCGCAACCUUAUGGUUCCUAGUCAGAUUCACUAACCACUGAGCCACGACAGGAACUCCAGUAAUAAUUUUUUUUUAAAUAAUUAUACAUUGAAAUGCUACUGUUCUGGGCAUAAUGGACUAAAGAAACUUAGAAUUCAUCUCACCUCUUCUUUUUAAAUUUUUUAACGUGGCUACUAGAAACUUUACAGUGAUUUGAGUUUUGUAUUACGAUUCCUUUGGACAGUGCUGGUCUAGGGUAUUCCUUGGGUGUUCUGCCUUUGAGUCUUAAGGAACCAGAAAGGAGGAGACUGAACCUCACGCAUCUUCCUUAUGAAAGGAUGUGAUCCUGAACAUACAUGAAUCCUUGCCCUCCCAUGGGACUGACAAGGAGCUGAGUCACCUGCCCCUCCCUAGCUGCAAGGGAGGCAGGAACACACUUUUGCUAGACGGCAGCCUCCAAACCAGCUAAACCUCAGGGGGCAGGAGGAAUGGCUACUGGAGAAAAUUGACUCAAUCAAGUUGAAUUGCUACCUGUCCCCCAAAAGACAUUGCAGUCCUAACCCCCCUAGUACCUCAGAAUGUGCCCUUAUUGGAAAUGGGGUCUUUAUAAUCAAGUUAGAAGGAGGCCAUUAGGGUGACCACUAAUCCAGUACGAUUGGUGUCCUUAUGAUAAGGGGAAACGUGGACACAGACCCACACAGGGGAGACCACGUGAGUAGACAGAGAUAAGGCCAGUGAAGGUGAAGGCAGAGACCAGGUGUACCCUCACAGCCUCAGAGGGAACCAACCCUGCCAACACCUGGCUCUUGAGCUUCUAGCUUCCAGAGCUACAAGACAAUAAGCUUGUUAUUUAAGGCUCCCAGUGAGUGGCACUUUAGGGUGGCAGCCCUGGGAAAUGGAUGCCCUCGGCGACAAACCAAGGCAGUUUCCACGGUGAGGUGUGCCAGAUGUUCUUUGUUUUGAUUACUUUUGCCCCAGAUGUGAAUCUUGGCUGCCAUUUGCCCAUUGUUUCUUUUCUGUCUGUCAGUGGACGUCUGUUGGAACAGGUUGUUCAGGUGAUGUUAAGUGCCUUGUCCAUGUUCGAAAUGAAAACUGCUGAGUGUUGUCAGCUGAUGACAUGAGGGUGUCCAUCAGGCUUUUCCUUUGCGUCCAGUAAUACACUGGGUGACCUAUUUAAUGAGAUGUAUGAUCUACAGGAUGCGUGCUAAGUACACUGCUUGCCGUCAUCACUUUGGGAUUGCUUACACAGAUGGGAACUGUCACAAUCUGAUCCCACACCUUCACAGGAAAAUUUGGGAAUGAUGUCACCGAUUACACAUUAUCAAUUUAGUUUUAGGUCACACCGAGUGCAUGCAUUCAUUCAGUCAACAUGCAAUUCAUACAACUGUGAAAUAUGAGGAUUCUAAAUUCUAUCAGUUAAUUGCAUUUGAACAUAUAUGCCAGUUUGACUUGCUUGAAAAUUGGGGCUUAGAAUUCUGAGCAAAAUGUUAGAUUUGUUGCAAAAGAAUUUAAAAUUGUGGCACUUCCACUUCCUAGAUAUAUAGCUUUAUUACUGUAACCUGAUAAUGUAUUAAUUUUUUAAAACCCACAUUGACCUCUUCAUUUGUACUUGAUUUACUGCGGGUUAUUUCCUACCGCUAUUGCUUGCCAAGCCCUGUCUUUCUCUUUGUGUGCUUGCCCUGUUGGGUAUUUGAACCCAAAUGCAGGACACUGUAUUAUCCCAGUUAAAUUUUAUUUUCUUUGUUAAGUUUGUUCAGUUUCAUUUUCUAUAAAUCUGUUGCUCUGGUUUUUGCAUCAAAUUCUGACUCUUAACAUAAUCACACUGAGUUAUGCACAAACUUAGUAGGCAUGCCUAUUUUUUAGUAUUGAAAUAUAGUUGAUUUGUAGUGUUGUUUCAGGUAUACAGCACAGUGAUUCACAUAUAUAUAUGUGUAUGUGUGUAUUUUUUCAGAUUCUUUUCCCUUAUAGGUUAUUAAAAAUAUUGAAUGUAGUUCCCCUGUGUUCUACAGUAGGUCCUUGUUGCUUAUCUAUUUUAUGCAUAGUAGCGUGUCUAUUAAUCCCAAAUUCCUAACUUAUUCCUUUCUCUUCCGACGUGCCUAUUUGAUCUAAGUCACUAAUUUAAUAGUUAAGUCACUAAUCUUUAGAUAUGGAUAUGUAACCAGACCUCAAAGAAUGUGAAUUUAGGCAUUGCCCAUUUGGAAGAUAGCAGUAGCUGUUAUGUAUAUGGCAUUGCCAUAUGUUGUCUGUAUCAUUUACAGGCAUAGUUCAUGUUAUGUACUUUCCAGAUAUUGCAUUUUUUACAAAUUGAAGAUUGCUGACAACCCCGCAUCCAGCAAGUCUAUUGGCACUGCUUUUCCAACAGCAUUUGCUCACUUCGUGUCUCUGUCACAUUUUGCUAAUUCUCAAAGUUAUUGCAGACAUUUUCAUUAUUGCUAUAGUCAUUGUCAUGAUUUGUGAUCAGUGAUCUUUUAUGAUGCUAUUGUAAUUGUUUUUUGCUUUAUAAUUUUAAGUUACGUACCUUGUUUUCCAAGACAUAAUGCUAUUAUAAGGCCACAGUACUGUGUAAACAGACUUUUAUAUGUACUGGGAAACUAAAAAUUCUUGACUCACUUUAUUGCCAUAUUUUAUUGCAGUAGUCUGGAACUGAACCCACAUUAUCUUUGACAUAUGCCUGUAUGUGAUAAUUAUUGACCUCCUUCCAAAUGGGCAAUGCCGUAAUCCACAUUUUUGGAGGUCUGGUUACAGCUGGUCCAUUAUAUUAUUUCUCAUCUCCGUUCUUCCGUCUUGGCCCAGUUUUAUCCCUUACUAUCUGUGUGAUACCGGGUAAGUUAUGUAAUCUCUCAUCUGCGGUUUUCUUGUUUGUAAACCAGAGUGAUACCAGCACCUCCCUUCCAGCAUCAUUGCAAGGAUUAGGGUAAUAUCUGGCACAUGGUAAAUCCUCAAGAAAUGGUAGCUAAUGAGACCUGUUACCCUGAUGCCUCACCCAGUACCUGGCAUUUGUAGAUCUUCAGUGGUGUGUGAUUCAUGAAUGGGUUCAAAGUUUACCAGUUGACUAUGAUGGACAUGCAUGAGCCAGUUCCAGCAGUACAAGGCUUGUGGCAUUCAAAACAAAACCAGGAGUCCAGGGGACAAGUACAUAGGAGUUUAGAGAGGGCUGCAUUGCAAAGAUGAGCUUGGGACUGGACUUCCUUGAUUGGGCAGUUAGGAUUAAUGGAGGGAAACUGGUACUGGCGAGGGAACGUCAAGAGCAGAGGUGGUAGGAGGAGACUCAGGGAAGAGGGAGGUGUACAGAGUAGUCAGCUUGCGUGGGAGGGAGGGGCUUCUGCACAGCAUGGAAAGCAGGGGGCAGGGGGUGUAGGUAGAACUGAAGAGUGAGGCUUGAAGCUGAUGGCAUUUUGGACAUUAGGAUAAUCUGGGGGUUUUGUGUGACCCACUAGGGAAGAGGGCCAGGCCCAGGGCCAAGGCUCGGGUGGUGGCUGCCCUGGGAGGGAAAGGAUGUGGUGCCUUGAGUGGGUGUGGGAUGAAGAGCAAGGAGGAAACCGCAAUUCCUGUUGCUACACAAAGGCCACACCCCACCCUGGGCGUGCGAGCCAAGCGCCAGCGCCCCUCAUCUCCUGAGAAAUCUGGCGUGGGCUGUUAUCACGCUUGCCUUUUACUAGCAGCUUGGUGGGAAGAGACAUUAGGAAACUUCAGAAGU
rnacentral:lncRNA from 1 species